CUUAGUAGGGGGUCUUUUUUUAUUUUUAUUAUAUUUGAAUACUUUUUUAUAAUAUUUGAUUUUACAGGGAUGUUAGAAGAACUCCAGAUGCCAUUAAAUUGUGGAGCAUUGAUUGUGUUGGUUCUCAUUGACUCCAAAAAGUGACUGUUCCUAUGGUCAUAAAGAAUGCAUGAAAGUGCCUUUCCAUUGGGAACGGAGACAAUGUGCGGAAGAAAUGUGCUGCUGAGGGAGGGAUUUAUGACAAUAAACUGAUUGCCCCACAAAUGACGAGGGAUUGCAGUUAAUUUUGAUGCUACUGAAGCAACCGAUGCUUUUGAUGUCUUCACUUUGCAACAUUAUGUAGUCAACUUUUACCGUAACAACAGGAGGCAGUUGGAAAUUAAUUAAUUUGGAAGAGACUGGAACAACAGAUUGUUUGCAGUGGUAUCCCUCCUAGAUUUGGUUUGCUCAUCACACUGGUAGACUUUAGAACGCCAUUUCUACAAUUAAGAAUAAAUUGACAUUUAUCAUUGAUCUGUCUAUGGAGUUUAUCUAUCUAGGAAGUUUAACUAUCUAUGGAGUUUAUAUAUCUAUGGAGUUUCAAUUUAACCUUUCUCUAGUGUCUGCAUUGUAAAUUGACGUGAUAUUUGACACUAUUUGUAUGUCGAUUAUGGUCGUGAUCUAUGGUUGCGAUGUAAAAUGGCGUGGAAGUAACGCUUGUUAUUUUAUAAUUCAACCAAUUUUACUUGCUUUUUGAUGCGUUUUUAUU